rnacentral:rRNA from 1 species
ACCUAUGUUCUGUUGCCUCGGCGGCGUCGGUCAGCGCCCCUCUGAAAAGAGGACGAUGCCCCUCCCGCCGGCAGCACCAAACUCUUGAAUUUUACAGCGGAUUACAGUUCUGAUUUGAAAACAAAAAAACAAGUUAAAACUUUCAACAACGGAUCUCUUGGUUCUGGCAUCGAUGAAGAACGCAGCGAAAUGCGAUAAGUAAUGUGAAUUGCAGAAUUCAGUGAAUCAUCGAAUCUUUGAACGCACAUUGCGCCCGGCAGUAAUCUGCCGGGAAUGCCUGUCCGAGCGUCAUUUCAACCCUCGAACCUCCGUUUCCUCAGGGAAGCCCAGGGUCGGUGUUGGGGCGCUACGGCGAGUCUUCGCGACCCCCGUAGGCCCUGAAAUACAGUGGCGGUCCCGCCGCGGUUGCCUUCUGCGUAGUAAGUCUCUUUUGCAAGCUCGCAUUGGGUCCCGGCGGAGGCCUGCCGUCAAACCACCUAACAACUCCAGAUGGUUUGACCUCGGAUCAGGUAGGGUUACCCGCUGAACUUAAGCAUAUCAAUAAGCG